rnacentral:rRNA from 1 species
AGUUCGGAUUGUAGGCUGCAACUCGCCUACAUGAAGUCGGAGUUGCUAGUAAUCGCGGAUCAGAAUGCCGCGGUGAAUGCGUUCCCGGGUCUUGUACACACCGCCCGUCACACCAUGGAAGUUGGGGGCGCCCGAAGUUGCCUAAGAAAUAAGGUACCUAAGGCGAAACCAAUGACUGGGGUGAAGUCGUAACAAGGUAAC